UCCCUCAUAGCUCAGUUGGUACAGAAUCUGCCUGCAGUGCAGAAGACCCCAGUUCCAUUCCUGGGUAGGGAA
rnacentral:tRNA from 1 species